CACCGCCUCUUGCCCAAAUAUAAGAGGUCCAGCCUGCCCAGUGACAUAGUUUAACGGCCGCGGUACCCUAACCGUGCGAAGGUAGCAUAAUCACUUGUUCUUUAAAUAAGGACUCGUAUCAACGGCAUCACGAGGGCUGUACUGUCUCCUUUCUCCAAUCAGUGAAACUGAUCUCCCCGUGAAGAAGCGGGGAUUGACCUAUAAGACGAGAAGACCCCAUGGAGCUUUAAACCCAACACACACCCCUACGCACCCAAACCAAUACAGCCCAAGAGACUUGUGUGUUGGUUUUAGGUUGGGGGGACCGCGGAGUAAAAUCAAACCUCCAUGACAGACGGGCUAAUACCCUUAUCCAUGAACCACAAUUCUAAGAGCCAAUAAAUUGUUGUCUAAUGACCCAAUUACUUGAUCAACGAACCAAGUUACCCUGGGGAUAACAGCGCAAUCUACUUCAAGAGCCCCUAUCGACAAGUAGGUUUACGACCUCGAUGUUGGAUCAGGGUAUCCUAGUGGUGCAGCCGCUACUAAAGG
rnacentral:rRNA from 1 species